UGCUCGGCGGCCCGGGAGAGGUAGGACGCGCGGGUCCUGGCCGCGAGCCGGGAGUCGUCGCAGAAGCAGCUGUUCCAGGCGGGUUCGAGGACC
rnacentral:tRNA from 1 species